GAUGAACGCUAGCUACAGGCUUAACACAUGCAAGUCGAGGGGUAACGAGAGGAAAGCUUGCUUUCCUUGUCGACGACCGGCGAACGGGUGAGUAACGCGUAUCCAACCUGCCCCCAACUAAGGAAUAACCUUGCGAAAGUAAGACUAAUACCUUAUAGUUUCCUCAGAUGACAUCUGACGAGGAAUAAAGAUUUAUCGGCUGUGGAUGGGGAUGCGUCUGAUUAGCUUGUUGGCGGGGUAACGGCCCACCAAGGCAACGAUACGUAGGGGUUGUGAGAGGAAGGUCCCCCACAUUGGAACUGAGACACGGUCCAAACUCCUACGGGAGGCAGCAGUGAGGAAUAUUGGUCAAUGGGCGAAAGCCUGAACCAGCCAAGUAGCGUGCAGGAUGACGGCCCUAUGGGUUGUAAACUGCUUUUAUACAGGAAUAAAGUUAGCCACGUGUGGUUAUUUGUAGGUACUGUAUGAAUAAGGACCGGCUAAUUCCGUGCCAGCAGCCGCCGUAA
rnacentral:rRNA from 1 species